GAAAAAGCUACCCAAUUAAAGGAAAUCAAACUCUCAAUACACCUUCUCAUUCUUCAAUUCAAAAUGGCUGCAAUUCUGAGCUGGAGACGCCUUCUUUUGGUCGCUCUUUUAUCGCUUUGCUUCAUAGCUCCAUGUGUUUCGGGAAGAAACUUGCGGGUAUUGGAGAAUCUCAAUAAUGAAAAGGAUAAAAGUACAAAAAGCGUGGAUAAAUUUAUCACACCAAAGGGAACAAAAGUGAGAGGACAUGAAGACUUAAUAACAAUGGAUUACACUCCAGCACAAAGGAAGGCUCCCAUACAUAACUAGAUCAAUCUAUUGAUAUGUUCUCGUUCAAUCUCAGCUUUAGCAGAGGGGACCAAUAUAAGAAAUAAUGUAGUUUGAAACUUGAGCAUAUAUUUAGGUUAUACAAAUUAAGAAGAUUAUAUUUUCUGCUA